AAAUGUUAACCACAUAGUGGACUUAAUUUCGGCUUAAGACUUUGCUAUUAGCGUAGCAACAUUUA
rnacentral:tRNA from 1 species